UUAUCUCUGAUGGUUGGUUCUUUUUGCCCCCCAGAGUGCUCAAGAUUACCAACUGUGGUUCUGUCGUGGCCUCCAAGAAGCCCCAAGCCUACUCCAAGAGCAUGAGCAUCCCUAUGACAUCAUCAUGAGAAACAUUCAAAGUAACGUCAGUCAACGACGACGACGGAAAUCAAGGAAGUGCACAGCUUUUCCUGCCCUGCCUGGGCUGUAUGUGGAACAACCAGAUCUACAGGGGCGAUUCAUCCUAAAGCCCAGAGACCCAGCAGGAAGCCAGAAGCAGAGCAAUACAGAGGAGCCAACAUUUAAGAGAAGACAGCCUUUCAUAUCCUGGUUGUUCCACAAGGGCUCUGUGCCUCACCAGGACCAAGUGUGCACAACCCCACCAGUUGUGAAGACAGGAAAACUCUUUGGAAAAGAUCUGACUGCCAUUUGUGAGGAUGGCACUCUACCUACAGUGAUUCUGGUAGGUCUCAUAUAGUUCUUCUCUGGCUGUCCUGAGGACAAAAUCCUGCUUCUCCUAAAUACCUCCCCUCUUCGAUUCUAUCAUCAAGUGGAGAAACAAGUGUGCAUCAAAUCAUUGGCUUAAGAAUAGGAAGGUAAGAGAGGGCUAUUCACCACAAACCGUGUAUUGGAAAAGUUGGAUUAAAUCACUUUACUGUAGUGGAAAAUCUGAUUACAAAUAAACAUUGCCUGAGGUCUCAGGGUUAACAUUAGGGUAGGAUUGGUACAACAGGAGAUAGAAGCACCAAAACCAGGUCAGGUCCUCUUCAUCCACACCAGCUCUGGCAUUGCACCUGCGCACACCAUUAGUCUGGUUCUCAAGAAGAAGGGACACCUGCUCUGUGCUGCCAGUGGAGUGACAGGUGUUUCUCUUUCUUUUCUCAGGACAUACUAUCCUUUUAUUAGUGUAAGGG